AUGGGAGGCCUCCUACGCCAGAAAAAUACGAGACAAAGGGACUGGGAAAAAAUCCUAAAUGAUUCUAUAUGGUCAGUGUCCCAAAUGCCUGAAGAGCUAAACUAUGCAGUAUACCUUAGCUACCAAGAUUUAAAUCCAAAUUUGAAGUCUUGCUUUCUGCACUAUGCCCUCCUCACCCAGAACACAGUGUUCUAUGAUGACAACAUUGUUGCCAUGUGGAUUAGUGAAGGAUUUGUUCAUGGAAACAGCACAUGUGAUUUAGAAGCACUAGGAAAAGACUACUAUGGUGAGUUAAUAGCUAGGAACCUUAUAGAGCCGGAUCAAUUGUACUUGGACCAGGCAGUCUGCAAUAUGCAUGAUGUUGUUCGCUCAUUUGCUCAAUAUGUAUCUAGAGAUGAAGCACUGGUAGCUCAGAAAAUUGAAGUUGGCCUAACCAAUAAACUUAAUUCGCAAAAUGUUACUCGGUUAUCACUGGAAUGCAAAGAAUCAGAAUCAAAUGAGCUAGAAUGGAGUUCUCUACAAGCAAAUAGAUCACUGCGAACAUUGAUUUUAGUUGGGAAGAUGAAGAUCAACCGAGGUGAUUCGUUGUUGUCUUUUCCAUGUUUGCGGACCCUACAUAUAGAAGAUGGAAAUUUUGAUGCUUUGUCUAAAUCUUUGGUCCAACUCAAACACUUGAGGUAUUUGUCCAUAAGACGCACUGACACAUCUAGGCUGCCAAAAAGAAUUGCCAUGAUGAAAUUCUUGCAGUGCAUUAAUAUUUCUUACUGUAAAAGUUUGGUGAAGCUUCCACGUGACAUUGGAGAGUUACGGCAGCUGAGGUAUUUAAGCCUUGUUGACUCAGGAAUAAAUAGUGUACCGAAGAGUUUCGGUGGUCUAACUAAUUUGAGGUUAUUGUUGGGGUUUCCAGCCCAUGUGGAGGGUGACUGGUGCAGUUUGGAAGAACUAGGACCCCUUAACAAGCUCAUGCGUCUUGAUAUAGAUGGUCUGGAGAAUGUAUCCUCUUCCGCAUUUGCUAUAAAGGCCAGGCUUCGUGAAAAGGUGCGCCUCAGCUAUCUGGUCUUAAAGGGCACCAGUACACGUCGAGGUGCUCACAGUCACAGGUUGGUAAAAGAGGAAGAGCAGCAACAAAUCCAGAAGGUGUUUGAUGAGCUCUGCCCUCCACCCUGCUUAGAAACUCUGUGUAUUGAAGAGUACUUUAGCCAACAACUUCCAAAGUGGAUGAUGCCUACAGAAAUUUCGUCCCUUGGAAGCUUGAGGAAUCUAUGGAUGGAAGACUUGCCUUAUUGCACGGAUCUACCUGAUGGCUUGUGGCAGCUCCCCAGCUUGGAGUUCCUACAAAUUAGAAGCGCCCCAGGCAUCAAGCGUGUUGGGCCAGAGUUCGUACUACCACACCAUCAUGAGCACCCAAGCCCUAUGGAAAACGUUGGUUCUGAUUUGGAAAUUGAGGUGGAUGAAUGUUCUGGCCUCGAGAGGAUCAGCAAUCUGCCAAAUUUGCAGAGCCUCGUGAUCUUUAGAUGCCCAGGGUUGAAGGUACUAGAGGGUUUGCCUGCACUUCAGAGACUCGGGCUGGAGGACUACGACAUGGAAACACUCCCGGGAUACGUGCGGAACGUAAACCCAAGGGAUUUGCAUCUAGACUGCGACAUCUCACUGCUAGCUUCCAUAGCUAAAGGGAAAUCUAGCCCCGAGUGGGACAAGUUCAGCCAUAUCAAGCAUGUGAAGGCAUAUGCAGAUGACGACGACAACAACAUUGAAAGGAAGUGGUACGUCAAGUACACGAGAGAUCCUUUCAGCUUUAAGACAAACAUCAGCCUCCCUGCUGACGCCUCAGGUAAAUUAACACACCUGCUGCUUUAUACGUUGCCAACUUAGUAUGUACAUUUCAUGCUAUUGGAAUAUCUCGUCACUUGACUGGAUGUGCCGUUUAAUUUCAGGGGAUGAAACGGAGGAAGUGUUGUUGGACGAAGUGGAGGAAACUUCAAGGAAUGAAAUCGUAGAAGAACAUGUCAAUGUGGAACAACUGAGGGAGUAAUCGAUCGAGUAUGCUACUACAACUUGUUACUAGUUGCUUGUUAAGCUGUGUCUAACACUGUCAAUUAUAUAACGCAUAUGGACGACCUUGCCUGCACAGGUGGAGUGUCCGUCUGUGACCUAUAUGGACAGAAGGAUCCUUGGAGUGGCCAUCACCUUGACUGAAGAAGUAUCAAUGCAGACUUUGUGUUGCGAUUUUGUUCGCUACUGUUAGACUACAUUUCAUUUUGAGGCGGUCAGAUAUUCGACAUUGCAAAUAAAAAGAGACUGGAAUGUCAUGUGAACUUGUUCCUUAAUUUUUCUUCAGUGAUUUGUGUGCGCAUUACUGUUCUAUUCUGAUGCAGUUUACCAGUUGUGAACUGAGAGGCCUGUAUGUAUGUAAGUUGACUAGUUACAGAACAAACUAAUGUUAUGGUACAGCUUCAUUAAGAAGCUUGCUGAUUCAUGGUGAUAUAUCUAUAAUCUAUAACUCUUAUAAAGCAAAACUUCGCUAGCUAUUUCUCAUGGCAUGUAAUGCGUCCACCUCAGUAAUCCACUAUCAUUUGUCACUAGUAAUUUCUCUUGACUUGUAAGGUGUCCAUCUUAGCAUUCCAUUAUCAUUUGCAAUUAAAGUUCACUAGCAGUAUAAUAUCCACGUCAGCGAGAUACACCAUUCACUAUAGAUACAAUCUCCACGAUUAUGCUAAUAAAUCUAUAUAUAUUAUAUCAUAUUCUUGUAUUAUCAACACCAUAUAUACAGCUUCCUCCAUACUCAUGGCAACCCGUGGGGAAUCUUUCUUGUUCUGUAAAUGCAACUUGCUAGUAACUGAAUGUAUAUAACACGGUUCACCGAAUUUUUGGAUUUUGUCAAGACUCCAAGUGGGUGUUUGAGGCUGUGAACUACUUCUAUAUAUCAAGGCACGUAACAUAACCGAUAAAUAAUCCAUUGCACAACGUGUUCACUCCUGAAUCAAUAAUGACUAGCAACUUAUUUAAUUAUUAGUAGAGGCUUGAAACUUCUCUAUGCAGUUGCCAAUAAUAUUUAUUUCUCUAUGGUCGAAUCUUAGCUUGCAUAAGGGACCAGCCGGAGAAAAUGCAGUUUUUUGACGGUUUUCAUCUGAUACCUAAAUAAAAUAGGACAUAUAAGAAUUUCUCAGAGUACUGCUAGUUUGCUACUACUCCCUCCGUCCAUAAAAAUAUAAUUCUCACAUUUCGAGAAGUCAAACAGUUUUAACUUUGACUGAAAUUAUAUAAAAAUAUACUAACACUAAUGAGAUAAAAUAAGUAUCAUUAUAUUAGUUACAGAGUAUACUUUUAUAAUAAAUUUAUUUCAAGACUUGCUAAUAUUAUUUACUAUAAACCUGCUCAAAGUUAGAAUCGUUGACUGACAAGUUUCUCAUAAUUGCAUUCUUUUUCGGACAGAGGUAGUGCAUGCUAGCCAUCGAGGAGCGCGGGAGCAGCCUCCCCAGCGGCGGCCAGCUCGGCUCUCGCCUAGGCGACGAAGGAAGGGGCCCGCGUGCCUAGCUCGGUGGCUAGGUCGGCGCUCGCCCAAGUGGUGACGAGAGUGGGCCCGCAUGCCCCAGCGAUGGGCGUUCCACUGGCAGGAGCUUCCCAAGCAGAGUGGGAGCCGGGGCUGGGGCUGGGCCAAAAGGCGUUCCUCCAUUGUGCGAUGGUCCACUCGUCACUGCUUCCCCUGGCCUCAGAUUCGAUGGAAUAGGUUUCCGGAUCUAGUGACGACCCGGUCAGGCCCCCGCGCACGCACGCCGGCUAGGUCAGGCUAGGGCUAAGUGGUCUGUGUCGCGCAUAGAAGACAGAUCUAGUGGAUCCAAGGCAGAGACAGUGAGGCCCCGUGCCCCUACGCACGCAAGCCGACUAGGCCAGACAGCAAUUGGGUGGCCGUGGCCACAGUCGGAAGGCGAUGGACCACACAGGCCUUCCAUCUUCUCUCAGUAGCAAUUCAGGGCUAGGGCAGCGGCGGCUGACGGCUGGGCAUGCUAGACUACGGUGGCAGCUGGGCAGACAACUUCUUCAUUGUCCUCAUCGCCACCGUCUCGGUCAACCUCCUCAGCGGUGGCAGCAACUCUAUGGGUAGCGGUGGCCUGAAGGAGGUGGAUCCCAUCAGCAACGGCUGGCCUAGAGGUAGCAGAUGUCUAGGAGUCCAGAUGGAAGAGGUUAUCCUUGGGCAGCGAUAGAGAACUCUGGCAGAGGUGACGCCCAUUCCAAUGACGGUGGCUGCCCUAUGGACGGCGGAGGCCUGAUCAGCGGUGGCGGCAACCCUUUGGGCACCGAUAGCCUGAAGGAGGCGGAUCCCAUCGACAGUGGCUACCCUAGAGGUAGCAGAUGUCUGGGAGUCCAGGCGGAAGAGGUUAUCCUUGGCGUCAGUGACAAAGAACUCUAGCAGAGGUGACGCCCAUUCCAAUGAUGGUGGCUGCCCUAUGGGCAGCGAAUGCCUUGGAGCCUAGCAAAGUAGAAGUGGAUCCUGUUUGCCUUGCAAUGGCGUAAUCUAGGGGCGGCGACAACUUCGACUUCCUCUCGCUUAAUCUAGCUAUUUUAGAAGAGGAUGCCAAGAAGCAGGGACGUGCCAAGAUCAUUGUUUUUUUGUUGUUGUUGUGUUGUUUUCUCCUCUUUGUUAAGGUGUGAAUCUAAGUGUUCUUGUAUCUGGUCGCUCUCUCCCAAGUGCGACAUGGGCGGCGGCGCCGUUGCCCCGUCCUCGGGUUCCUCCCCCGCACCCUUCCCGGUCUGGCCGCUGCCCGAGCUCGCCGUCGGGAAUCCGGUGGAGGGCAAGGACGGCAGCGGACGGGCGUCUUUCUCCCUCUCCAUGCCCCCGUCGUUCUCUCCCCCUCCCCUCUCUCCUUCAGUGCCGGCGACCGCCGGGCGGCGUGGGGGUCAAUCCGGCUCCUCCGCGGCCGGAUCCGGCAUCCCCAUGGCCAGAUCGGGCUCCCCCACAAUUGGUGCGGCUAGAUCGGCCAGCGGCGGACCAACCUAGGGUUGGUGCGGCAAAUCGCCCGGCGGUGCUGUGAGGUGACGGCCUACUCGACGGUGGCGGCCGAUCUGGCUCGCCCCCCGGUGGGCUCGGUGACGCGGACGGCGGCACCAUUCCUCGAUGCCCGGCGUUCCCGCACCGGUGAAGGGGUCUGGCGGCGGCGGGUGCAUCUGGGUAUCUCAAGCCUGGAUCCGCCGGCUGCUUACCCCGUAUUGCCCCCUUCUCGGUGCGGGUGGUGCUCCGGCGAUGCGGACUCGGGCGGCCGUUGCCUCGGGUCGGGGACAUUUCCCCGGCGGCGACUGGGGGGUCGAUUUGGACUCCCGGGCACCGGAUGGCGAUGGCGGUGUUGGCACCGGCCAUCUCGACAAGCCGGCCAACCCGCCCUCCCACGCGGUCGUGGCCUGGAUCAACUGCACCAAGCACUCGGCUUAAGACCACGCCGCUCCCAGGCGGCCCGCAAAUCGGCUCUGACAUCCACAUCAAAGGACAUCGUCGCCCCCUGCUUUUCUACUGCCUCGCUGCAUCUGGUGAAGACCCUGCCGUUCAUCCCCGUUAUCUCGUCAUUUGCAGGUUCGGCAUGGAUGUGAGGAUCUUGGAAUACAGGUGAAAACCCUGCCUGGCGGGUGCUGGACUGGCGGUGAUGACGCAUCAACGUCAUCUUCCUCCUUGGAGGCGUCACUGUAAUUCCCUCUUCCUUUCGUUGAUGAUGGCGUCUGCGGACGUCAUUCACCUUCUUGAAGGCAUCAACACAAGCACACCUGCUCCUAGCCAUGCCCUGCACUACGACAUUUGGGACUCAGCUGCGGCGCCAAGAGAAAGCCAAGGAUGCCCUCUCGUUAAUCAAAUAGAGGGUCGAAGCAUUUGCUGUAAUGUCCUGGUCUAUGUAUAAAACUAUGGCUUUUCUAUCUUUUGUUUUUUCUAUCUCCUUUUGUAACAAUUGGCUGUGUACAUCUCCGGAUGUAGAGGCCGAAUAUUGAAUAUCCUUUAUCGAAAAAAGUGUUCUUGUAUCUUUUUGGCUACAUAUAUCCUUCGUGGUUAUAAAGGCUGUAUUAUUAAUUAAAAUACACUAUCUCGAAAAACAUGCGAACCAUCCAAGGUUAUCAAUUAUGGGCCAUCACGUAGACAUGAUGUAAUCUUGUUUAUGGGCCGAGAGCGGAGCAUCUGCAAGAUCCAUACACCUCGGCGUGACAUACGUUGCUCAAAACAAAAAAAAAGCUAGGCAUGACAUAUAUACUAUGUUGAGAGUCCACUAAAAAAUAAAAUAAAAAAAAAACCUUGUUGAUGAUAGAGGCGUGGUAUAUGAUAAGAUCAAUCUUAACGAUGGUUUUAUGACCUAGUUUUAAACAAACAAGCAAAAUGCAUGCACUGGCCACAUUGGUGCGCUGGGUGCUGAUGGUGCGGUGGGCGGACGCGUUGGAAACCCACCGGUUAGAAAAAUGUGUAAAGAGAGUGACCAAGUUCGAGCCUUUCAUGGGAACAACUCGAGUGCCAUGAUUGGUUGCAGUUUUAUACAAACAGUAAAGUCAUCGCGGCAAAGCCAUCGAUGUAUAUAGAACAUAGAAGAGAUAUGCUUUCACACAUCGGUGAAUAAUGUAUACAGAAGGUAGCAACAUGUUUAUUAAUCAAAAAAAAGGUAGCAACAUCUAUAUGGUGAGGCGGUUAAAACUCGUCCAUGACAUAUAGGUACGUAGAUAUAUAGGCUUACGUCCACCUCGAACAAACAUGAAACAUAAUUCUGAGAACAGAUGUGAGGCAUCCCAAAAUAAAUAUAAAAGAUGCAUGCUUUCUUCCUCCCAGGCAACUGACUUUAUUUCCCUUCUCUUUGUGACGGCCUUGCGUACUUGCGUUUUUCAGGACAUCUGUUCAUUUAGUCCUACAAAAUACAGAAAAGCGAAGUAGUAUAAGAAGAGCACGACGAGCUCCUACAACAUGUUUUACUUACCAUCUUUCUCGGGAUAUCUUUACUUUGAGAACAAGGCCUUACUUUAAGUCCUACUAUGUAGUGUGCCCAUGCGUUGCUACGGGAUAGCAACAUUUUGUACUAAAACAUAUGGAUCGCAUGAUAAGAUAACAAUACUGUAAAAAUUAAAUACCAAUGUUAAAUUGACAGUUAAUUUAAAAAACAAAGUUUGUGAAAUUAACGGUCACAGAGAUCGCAGCAUCGCAGACUCACAAACUCUACUUUUUAGAUAUUUCUAUGAUACGGCUAAGAACUGCAUAAUGAUCGGAAGAAACCCGGCACGUACCAUUCGUCCAGGUCCAACUCCAACAUCCGGAUCCUCCAUACGAUGCUGAUGCUGCUGCUCCACCUUUCUCGACCCAACUAAUGAUUUUGAGCCACUUCACAGAGAUGCCCAUCGUGCCGCCAACAACCAGUCACCUCAACUGCAUUUUUCUCGUUUUUUUAGCACCCGCAUAAAACUGCAGCACAAUGUCACAAGACGGGAGAGAGAGGGGGGGGGGGGGGAGGGUGGGUUUGCUCACAUUACUUAUCCAGUCCAAAUUUAGCCAAGAACUCUACCUGCAGAUCACGGGGAUGCUAGGGGCCACCUGAAACUAACAGCUUCCUUCGUUGUAUAGAAUGUUUGUUGGAUGGAGUUUCAUCAAACAGACUCCAACUUAAUAAAAGAGGAUCCACUUUUAGUCUCUACAUAAGCAUAUAGACAAGUUGUAUAGGUAACAGAGAAAAGUCUGCUAUUUAUUUGAUAGAUCAAGCAAAGAUAUCUAAUCACGAAUGAACCAUGGGAUUGCGUAAUCAUCUAAAUAUAUGCAAGCAUUUAGUUGCAUGUUCCAGACUGCACUGCUAGAUAGCUCUAUUUAGUCUACAUGUCAUUCUUAGUUCUAUUUACCUCCAAAUUGGUAUCUGCUAGGAUGCACAUCAUAGCUCCAGAUUGGCUAUCUAUGAGACCUCAAGAGGAAAGGAAUAAUUCUAUGUGUAAGCCAUCUCAUCAACUCAGAAAUUAAGAUAGUGCUAUUAAUAGCUGAGAAAGUAAAAGCCAACAAAUUUGGCACUAUAUUUUGUCUCCAGAAAUUCCUUGUACCAUGACCCCAUUAUUCUUGGUAUUGGUGGUGAGAGCAAGAGUGAUCACCUCAUAGAUAUGUUUAUAGAAACCUGAACAAUAAAACACAACACAGAGGUUCAGUCACAGGUUCGCGGUCCUAUUUCACCUGCUACAUGGUACUGCCUCAUAGUACAAGCAUUUAGGCAAAUUUUGGAAUCAAUUAGGAUGAUAUCUGGUCAUGGUUAGGAAAGUUUUGCAGGCAAGCAUGCGUACGGAGGUAUUGGUGAUUUAAGAAUACUUGUUAGAUUUCACUACUUGAGUUGAUAGUUUCUCAUAAUUGUGUUUCCAUGACAAACUCAGAGCAGAUAGCAAAGAUAAUGACUCAACAAAGCAAGCUAACAAGCUAACACAUCUAGUACUUGUACAUUUAGAUAUCUCAAUUUCAUUUUCUGAACAUCCAGAAAUAUAAUUUUAAGUUCAUUUUCUGAACAACAAGAGUUACUGUAGCUUUUAAAUUGGUCAACAAAUUAAAUUUUCAAGUCAUAAGCCAAGCUCAAGAACAAUAUAGUGAAGUUGUUGGCAUCAAAGUUCUGCCGAGGUUUGCAAAUUCAGCAAAAGCAAGAUUAGCAAAUCAAUAUAUGUUGAAGUAAUAGUCUGCAAAUUUACAGCCAUUCGAUUUCAAUACUUUCAUAUAAUUCAACUUGCAAAUUUGAUAACACAAACCACUACCUAUCAGUACUAUGGUUGGUUAACACACAAGGGUAGAGCUUAGCGGAAACAAUGGAAAAAAAAGUUUGAACAGAGCAGUAAAUUAAAGCAGGCGGCGCAAGGUCUCACAUCAGUUCCUAGAUAUGACAUCUGCAUUUUGGACAAUAAAUCGGGUCCCCAAUAUAUCUAUCUAAACUCAUAUCGAUCCAAACAUAAGCUCAAAGUCUGGUAUAAAAGUGGAACAAUCUUAAAAUGUGUGAACGGAUUGGGAUGAGAUAGGUAUGGUGGCAGCUGUCGGUAAACAACCUGGUAUGUGCAACUGGCGAUGACAACAGCGAAGCUAUCGGGGGAAGUCGAUGUUGGGUCACCGCGCCACGAGGCCGGUGCCUCAUCCUGCGCCAUCGCCGCAGCCCGCGUUGGUGCCGCAUCCUGUGCGACCGCUUGCUCUGGUGCCGCAUCGAACACCCCUGCCACCGUGCAUAUAGGACUUCCAAGACCCUAAUUUGGACAUCAAAACUUUUUCCCAAAAAUUUGGAGCCCUGAAACCCGAUCCGAGACAUAAAUCAGCAGAUAAAUACAUGCUCCGACCUCCGGCAUGCACACGCCGCUGGACAUGGCGGCGCCUAUGCUAGUGGGACGUCGCGUCGCCUGUGCCACCGGGAUGUUGCGUCGCCUAAAGCCACCAGGAUGACACGCCACCUCCGCUGCUGAGACGCUAGGCGCGGCGACCGGAGGGUCGCAGCGGGUCGCAGUCGCCACCGGCGUUCGCGGCACGGGCAGCAGGCACCGGCGCAGCCGCUCGAGCAGCGGGCGCGCGGCGACCGGCGUGCGUGGUGCGCGGGCAGCGCGGCGCGGGCCGACGAGCGGGCACGCGGGAGUUCGCGCGGGCAACACGGCCACCAGAGUCCGCGCGGGCGCGCGCAGCGCGGUCGCUCGGCAACCGGAGAUCGAGAGGAGGGCCACCAAAGUCCGCGUGGACGCGGCACGGUCGCUCGGCCACCGGAGAUCGAAAGGAGCGGGCACCGGCGCGGCCGCUCGCUCGGCUACCGGAGAUAGAGAGGAGCGGGCACCAGCGCGACCGCGCGAGCAGCGGGCGCGCGGCGGGGGCGCGGCCACCGGCGUGCGCGGUGCACGGGCAGCUGCGUGGAUCGAGAGGAGGGAGAUAAAUGCGAGCAGGAGGAAGGAAUGGCGAGCGGGACGGGAAGAAGAGAAGGAAUAUAUGUUUCCUAUAAUAUGAGCCGUGGGUCGCGUUCGCAGGUGGCGAGGAGGCAGACGGACGAAACUAUUGCUGCACCAAAAAAAUGUCCAUCUUUUACUCUUUUUAGUUGUAGGAGAUACCGCAUAGAGAAAAGCAUGACCAGCUUGUAUAUCUUCCUUGCUUCUAGCUCCAACAUGCUUUGUCGUACGUUUCCAAUUCUCAAUGGCCAAAAGCAAAAGCCCUCAGAUCAGGAUGGAUCCCUGCAAAGCCCCUAGAUCAACAUGAAGGUGAAUGUAGGUAUAAUGUACCCAAAUUAUUGGCAAAUGCCCUUAAACAGGGAAUGACAACAUAUUUUUAUGCAUUUAUCUUGUGGGGGUGCCCUGUUUCCCAUCUCCAAGAUUUGUACAACGUGACCUUGAUUACUCCACCUAGCGGUGAUAGAAAAGCCAAUUCGACAUUCACUCGUUCGUCCAUUCUAUAUAGGAUCUCUUAACAAUCAGUUUCAUCAACCCUGAAAAACCGCUGGCAUAAAUUACAUUUGCACUAUCAGUUUACUUAAGACAACCACAGAUGGAAAUAGUGAAUUUAAACUGGUGAUUUCCAUUAAACAACCACCAAUGUAAAAUACACUAUUUACGCCAACGGUUUUCUUAACAAACUGCCGGUGUGAACCCAUUUGCACUAGCGGUUCUUGAUCCAGGCCCACAUAUUUUACACUAGUGGCGCUUGCUUCUUAUGAACCGCCAGCGAAAAAAUCGCUGUCAUCAAGAAAUUUAGAUUAUGUUCUAGUGCUUACCUCAAACUCAAAUGAAAACAUGAAAAAAAAUUAAGAACAAAUGGACGAAAAAUAAAAAGCUUUACCUUGUCAAUCAAAGGAAUACGUGCUCCAUGCAUGUUCGCAUGUGACGCAUCACGCAUCCGAAAGGUAAAAGAUGCACGCCUUCGAAUUCCUCCCUGCUGGCAACUGGCUUUAAUUACCUUCUUUAAUUAAUCCGUGCAACGGCUCUGAUCAACCUCAGGGCAUCUUUAGUUAGAUCAAACGUUCAGGUAGCUGGGUGCGGCUGCGCCACAGCAUUUAUAUAUAUUCCUUGCUUGUCGCUGCAACAUAUGCUUUGUCAUUUCGCAUUCCAGUGGCCAAAAGCAAAAACCCUCCAGAUGAGAUCAGGAUGGAUCCCUUCGCAGCCUAAAGCAAGCAACAUGCUUCCAACGGCGUGGUCUAAAGCAAAAGCAGUGAGGGUACAUUCCUUCCUGGGCGCAGCAAGCACGCCCUGCCCCCUGUGACCUUAUUUGGAUGGACAUAUAUUCAUCUUAAUCCAUAUAUAUUGAAUUAGAUCAGAUCCGAGUGAAAUUAAACUAAGUUCUAUUCCAAUCCACUCAAACAAAUGUGGAUUGAAGUGGAUAUAUACGCAUACAUCCAAACAAGGCCUGACCCGUCUGAAAAUAUAUCCAAGCUUCCCGAUAGAUACAAUACAUGCAGCCUCUAUGUCUAUAAAGCAGGCCUCCUAUAGCUGCUUCUUCACGUCUGAUACCCCCACCAUAUCGCUUUCAUUCAUUCAUGUCACACACAUCACUGCUGCGCUGAUCCAUCCGUCGAUCUGACAUCAGAGCCAACUGCCAAGCUUGCAAACUCGUCGAUCAUCUCGCUCUGUGUGACUGUAAGCACUCAACAUUAGUUUAGCAUGUACUUCUCCUCGAUCUGUUUCUUUUCCUUUUAUUUCAAAUAAUGAAAUAGAAUUGCCCUCCAUAGAGGUCGCAUUGAACCAACCACUGAUGAUAAUAAGGUAUUUUUGUUUUAUUUGCAGAGUUGCAUUGAUUGCUUCCAUUCGUUGUGAUUCUAACCCAACAUCAAUUUUCUCAUAUUUGUUCAACGAACCACGAACAUACCAAUCAUCGUGGUUUCCAGUAAUACAAAAAUUGUAUGUUGCCCCCUUCCUCUAUCGCCGUCUGGUUUGCUUGAUUCAUCUGCUUCAUCUGUUGAUCGAACCAUCCGCUCUGUUGAUCUGUUCUCAGGGCACGUGGGUCCGUUCGGUGCCAGGUGCCAGCGGGUGAACUCCUCGAUCAUCUUGUUCUGUAAAUGUAAGCACUCCAUAUUCAGCACUGCUCGAUCUGUUAUUCGUUUCAAAUAAAUAAUACUAGUUAUUCGUAAUUUCAGAGUUGAUUGCAACCAUCCGUUGUCAUUCAAACUCAAUCUUUCCAUAUUUGUUUGGAUAAGAACGAUAUCUGUCAUCAUGGUUUCCAGUUAAACAAAAAAUUGUAUGUUGUCCCCAUGUCUGUUCUGUUCUGGUGUGGCUGAUUCUCAUGUGCUUCAUUUGUUGAUAUUAUAAAAGAUUUUUAUCCACAAGACCAUAGGACAGUCAGAAAGAGCAGAUUUGUGCACCUGUAUUGUACUCAUUGAAAUAGUCAUAGACACGUUGUGAAAAAACAUUGUUUGCUUGGGUGUGCUGGAGACACAAAAUAUAGAAUCAUGGUGUCCAGUGGACAAAAUCGAUGAAUGAAGUGUGCUACGCACAAAUCUGCCUUGUGUUGCAGAUAAAACUAAAAUCCCUAGCUAUGUACACUAAAAAGAUUUACAGUGACCUAGGUGGGCACGAAUUUCAACCGCCUCAGUUAAUGCCUGGCAUUAACCAAGCCGGUCAUUUUUAUUAACCGAGGCAGUUACAAAAAUCACCUCGCAAAAUUUAUUAACCGAGGUAGAUAUACUAAUGUAACCAUAUCGAUAAAUCAUUAACCAAGGUGGACAUUUUAACUCCAACCGCCUCGGUAAAUCAGGACUAGCCCACCAGCCCAAGAGGCCCAGUUCUGAAGUCACAUAGAUAUACAAGAGACUAGGGUUUCAGCCUCAGCCGCACUCCUCUCCCCAAGCGGAACUUCUCUCCCUCCCACCUCGCACAGUCGCACUGCUCUAUCACCUCACACAUACAAAACAACUCCUAAAGCGGCUAGACAUGCUGGUUAUUGACAUAGUUAUGAUUAGAAAUAAAUAUAUAUUGUCAUAUUAAUGUAAAUAUUAAUUUAUAUUUUGAACUCCAUGAUCAUCAUAAAAUAAAUUAGUUUUAAAAUUCUAUAAAAACAAUAAAACAAACUAAACAAAAAUAUAUAAUAUUAUUGUCAUUGUUUGUUACAUGUUAACAGUUUUUUCCCCUGUUGUAACACAUGGGCAUAUUUGCUAGUAAUUGAUAAUGAGAACUUUUACUAGCAAAUAAACACCAAUAUUAGUUCAUCAAGAUUCAAAUAACUUCGAGCUAGAAUGAUAAGAUAGAGCAUGAUUUAGGAAAAAAAUAAAGUAUUUUUGUAACUUUUUGUGCUAAAACUAAUUUUCUACGAAUUUUAUAAGAUUUAUAAUUCCAUUUUUGGAAAAGUCACUUUUUAUUGUAGGAUUUAUAAAUAAUUCCAUUUUAUAAGUUUCUUUUUAUAAGAUUUAUAAUUUUGUUCCAAUAUUGUAGGAUUUAUAAUUCCAUUUUUUCAUUCAAAAUAUCAGGAUACAUUUUUGGAAAAGUUACUUUUUAUGAAUUUUGGUCAAUUUUAGAAAAUAAAUUUUAUCCUGAUACUUUGAUUUUAAUGAUAAGAUAUCCUGAUUUGUAAAUUUUAAUUAUGAAUCAUAAUUAAAGCUGUCCAGGGUGAGUUCAAAUGGUUUUGAAAGUUGAGCGGCUGAGAGGGGACCACAAAAAUUGAGGAAGUUAAAUGACUUUUUACUUAGAAAAGCCGACCUUUCUUGAACCUCCAAAGACAGGACACACACCUUCCGAUCAUGAAAUGCAUAAAAGAAGCCUACAGGAAAAAAAAAACUGCCCUUGGAGCCCGGCCGCAUGCAGGUAGACGCAGCUAGUACAUUUGGGGUAGUUCAGGCACUUCCUCCAUCCUAAAUUAUAAGUCAUUUUAAAAAUUUUAGAGAUUUAAAUCAUCCUAAGUUUAAUAAAAUUUAGAUGAUAAAAUAAUAAUAUUUAUGAUACCAACUAAGUAUCAUUAGGUUUUUCGUUAAUUAUAUUUUCAUAGUAUAUCCAUUUGAUCUCAUAAAUCUUUAUAAUUUUUUCUAUAAUUUUGAUGAAACUUGAGAUGUUUUGACUCUCCAAAGUUCUUGCAAUGCCUUAUAAUUUAGGAUGGAGGGAGUAGUUUACCAAUAAAUAGCUAGAUGGAGCUUAGAAAUAAUAAUAAAAAAUAUUAUAAUAAGAGUUAUGUAAGCCAUGAGAAAGUUAUUUUUAGGAGAUCGUGGUAGACUAGCUAUUUAACUGUCAUUAGUUAUUUCUUCUGUCUCCUUGAUAGGUAAUAGAAUUCUUCGUGGACUAGUUAUGUGACGCCCUUAUACUUGAAAACCGUAUCCUCAUUGCUUCAAAAAUAACUUGCAAUAGUUGUAUUGAAAACCGAUAUCCAUCUAGUUAUGUAAGCUAUGAGAAAGUUAUUUUUGAAGCAACCCAUAUCCUACGGUUUCUUGCAAUAGUUGUAUUGAAAACUCCAUAAUUGUUUCAUAUAAAGUUAGAUCAAGAUGUUUUAUAAAAAAAAUAUUGAGCGUGAUGCGAUCUAACUUUAUAGUCCACAAAUUUUGUAUUUGAUGAAGCUGUUCAGAGUAAAAGAAUUAGUCUGUCUGCCACUAGUCCACUACCAGCUCAGUUAACUAGGCGGCCAUGCGCAACAAUAAGGUCGCCUUGAGUUUCCCACACACCUCAUGUCUCCUAGCUCCCUUCUAUGUUUAAGCUGAUUCAUCAAGCUCAUCCGCCCCAAUCCAUCAAGCAGACAGUAGCCACGCCAAGCUUUCCGACCAUCUCAAACCUUACUUCCAGUUCCAUCCAGCCAUCGCUCAACAGGACCACAAGAUACCAAUUCGUCCUCGUUGAUAUGUACUAUUAUACAUAUAUCAAUCGCAAAUCUAACAAUUCGUCCUCUUGCUUUACUCCCAACAAGACCACAAGAGACCAAGGAACUGAAGGACACAGAGCACUCUGUGUUCCCGCUAAAAAUCAAGCUUUAUAAGGUGCAUACAUACUCCUCUUUCUUUCCUUCUUUGUUUCUCUGUAUUUUUGUUUCUUCCACGUACGGGCUGAGAUUGGUGUAGCUGUGCUCUCAAUUUUUAGGUGCCCCACUAUAUAAUAUGUAUAGUAACAUGCAUCGUCCAUGUAUCAGACUUCAUGAUAAUAUGAUAUUGACGUCUGAUACCCAUUAAUUUGUCAACUCCGUGCUUUUAGCUUCUGUUACUAUGUGCCAGAUCUGGAAUCCAAAAGUGGAUAGCCAACCAGAUCUGGUGUCAACCAACUGCUGCAGAGCUUCCUUUAAUUUGAAUAGUGCCAAGAUUAAUUACAGGGGGGCUCGAUUGACGAUUUUACCAUCAAGACUAAUUUUCAUUUAAACAAAUCACAUGACAUUUUUAUCUAUAUUGAUUUUGUAGAUACAGAACCUGCAAUGGCUGUGGUAUUGGAUGCUUUGGCAUCCUAUCUGCAAGAUAUGCUGGUGGAGAUGGUUGAAGAAGAGGUGCAUCUGCUCUUGGGUGUUCCCGAUGAGAUAGAAAAGAUGGGCAUCAAGCUCGGGGACCUCAAGAGGUUCCUUGCUGAUGCUGACAAGAGGAACAUUAGAGACGAGACUGUGCAGUCAUGGGUCAGAGAGCUUAGAAAUGCCAUGUAUGAUGCCACCAAUAUCCUUGAUUUGUGCCAGCUCAAUGCCAUGGAACGGGGUCCGACCAAGGAUAUGGGUUGCUUCAAUCCCUUGCUCUUUUGUAUAAGGAACCCUCUCUAUGCUCAUGACAUUGGUAAUCGCAUCAAAAGCCUUAAUAAGAGGCUAGAUGACAUUGAGAAGCGUAGCAAAGCCUUCAACUUCAACCUUGCAUCUUAUGAGGACAACACGAGAAUGGUAGAAUCCUCCCUUCGCGCUAGGCGGGAGACGACGGGGGAGGAUGAGUUUGGUGUGGUUGGUGUGAAGAUUGAGGAGGACACUAGAAGUCUUGUGGAUUUGCUCAUACAGAAGGAGAAAAAUGUACAUGAACACAAAAAUGUUAUGGUUUAUGCUAUUGUGGGAGUUGGGGGGAUUGGCAAAACCACCCUUGCCAAGAAGAUCUUUAAUCAUGACUUCAUCAAACAAGAGUAUGAAAAGAGAAUAUGGUUGAGUGUCAAUAAAGAAUUUAAUGACAUUGAUCUAUUAGAGAGAGCUAUCACUGAAGCACAAGGAGACCUUCAAGCAGCGAGAAACACAAAGGCUGCACUAGAGCGAACCCUUAAGGAAGCCUUGAAGGGGUGCAAGACCUUGUUGGUGAUGGAUGAUGUUUGGGACCCCCAUGUAUGGGAGAAGGUGCUCGAGCCUCCUUUGAUAAACUCACUUGCUCGAGGAAGCCGUGUUCUUGUAACAACAAGACAUGACAUGGUUGCUCGAGGCAUGACGGCGGAGGUGCCGUACCACCAUGUCAAGAAAUUAGAGCAUGAAGAUGCCUGGUCUUUGCUGAAGAAGCAGGUCCGUACAAUGUCAAUUCAUGUGUCUUACGUGUUUUGUUUUCAAGAAUGCAAUUUUACUUCUAAUAUGCAUAUCCUCCUGUUGCAGUAACUUCUAUGUCAUUAAUAAAUUUCUUUGCUAAUGUCUUACACCUUAUCUCGAAGAAAUCUUGGAUACGUUUUACAUGCACAAUGGCUAAUAGUAAUUUGCUAAAAGAUACUUAUAGUUUGAUGACAAGAGUUAAGUGGGGUGUUUUAGUGUUGGAAACAACUCAUGCAAGGAAUCCUUUAGUUAGAGCUUGUUCCAAUUCCUACUAUUUCUUAGAAGUAGUAAAACUAAAGUAAUGGCUCUUCAGUUCAAGUAGCCAGGAAGAAAUGCCCAAUGCUAAUGAUUAUAGCAUUUGAACUAUUUUCACUGUUACUGCACAUAAUGUGCAAAACUACAAUAAGGUGAAAACUGACCCUAGUUGGUAUUUUGAACAUUGAUUUUAUGAAUCAAGGAUCUUCAAAGUACUAUUAAAAUGUAACUUAUGAAAGUGCAGCACGCUUCAAUGAAAAAACUUAAAAAAGAACCAGCAUUACUAACAAGAAAAACUUGACUACAUCAAGGAACGUGUAUAAUGUUCUUAUUUCCUUAAUUACAUUGCAAAAAUGACGUUAGUUAAUUAUGAUUUGGCAUAGGUGCUAACAUACUAAACAUUGUUACAUUUAUACAUAGAUUCACAGAUGCUUCACUAACGAUGAAUUUAAGCUUUCUAAAGUUUUACUAUAUAACUUUCAGCAUUUAAAUUUUGUCAUAAAUAUAUUUACUCUGUGAGUCCAUCAGGCUCAACUCCACCCCCUAUGCAAUUUUCUAUUUUAAAAGAAAAAGUCUACUUAACACCUUACUCUUGGAAAUUGUAUAAUCCAGAGUCUCACCUAUAAACCAGUCACUACACUUUAAAUUAUUAUAUAUUAAAACCCAUCUAAAUAACCCUCAAAACAGAUUUGAAUGCAGUUUUUAUCACUCGCAUAUUACAUAUGUGCUGAUAUAGCGGUGACUCAAUAAAAAUGGGAAAAAUGUCUACACAGCCCCCCUAAUAUAUCAACCCUUAAUAUUUUACGAAGUUAUUACUCCUACUUUUUCUAGUUUUUGUCGUCUCACCGUCAUCUAGCACCGAAGUAAUUUGGCACAUUAGUGAAGCUGCCAUUAAAGCAAUCUUAGGGAUUACUUAGAUGGUUUUUAAUACUUUAAGGGAUAGAAUAUCUGAUAUUACAUGUGAGAGAGUGAUGUAAACAACUAUAAAUAGUUAUGGGGGAUUAAAUAAAUAGACUUUUUCAAUACUAAAACCAACCAUUUAUAUCAUGCGAAUUUACCCAACAACCGACAGAGUAGUCAAUGAAGAGUGGUUUAACAAGAGGCGGCAUGAUGGACUUUAGCCUUACAGAUUCACCUUCCUAAAAAUUCUUGAAAGUCCUUAUAUUUUGGGAGGGGAUUGACUUUUUAAUUUUCAAAAUUUAGGAACAUAAAAAUAAAAUUUUGAAAAUUUUAUUCUCUCUAAUAGUACUUUACAAAGAUUUUCCAAUAAAUUAAAUCCAUAUCAGCUAACCAUAUAAAGAUUGUGCAAGAGAACAAAAAUAGAGAAAGUCUAGCUUAUGAUCGAGACCAAGUCCACACUUCAAAAUAUAUGCAGACAGGCCGGUUUGGUUGGGUGGCUAAACCACCAAUAAAGCUUCAGAAAGUCACCUUUAGGCUGUUUCUUUGCCUGUUCGGAGUCCAAAGCUACGUUCCAUGGAGCCACCAACCACCCUCUAGCCAGGCUCUAGAAAAACACGGAGGGUGGUCAUUUUUUGGGAUCCUGGAUUGGCUUAGCUCUGGUGGCUGUUCUCCUCAGCUCCCAUAUCUGCGACGCUCACCCCUCCGAAUUCACCGACAGUAAGCUCCGCAUCUUCUCCAACUCCAGCAGACCGCAUCUGCUCCUCCUCCAGUGAUCCCCAUCUCCUCCUCCGGUGCUCCUCCCAUAUGCAAACUCCCAAGGCAAGCCCCCCGCGGCAAAGGCCCGGCCCGUUGCACGGCCAGGUGGCGUGCCCGGUAGCAAGAGCAUAGUCCUCCAGGCAGUGUCGCAGAGGUGCUCGCGAUGCUUGGUAGUUCCUCCUCUGAGCGGUGAAGAAGUUCCCCCACUAGUGCAACAUCAAUUGUGCUUCUUUGGUAUCAUAAAUGUUAUUUUAUUACAUAAAUAUAGUCAAACUUUAUAUAUUUUGACUCAUCAAAAAAAUUAGAAUAACUUAUAAUUUAAGAUAAAAGGAGUAUAUACGAUAUGGACAUGGACUGAUGAACAGUUCUUGUGGCUACAUUUAUCCCUACACUCUAACAUUACAACAAUGAGUGUCGUAUAAGAGCAAUAGAGUAUGGAACUGAACCUGAGACAAACCCGCAACAGGAGCCUGACUCAAUCAACUUGACAACCCAAGGCCGCUCAACAAUUAAGGAGGCUCAGGCCUAAUGUAUUGACCCAACAUGGGGCUUUGUCUCGGCUUACAAUGGCCCCAACUUCUUACCAUCCUUCCUAGCUCUGUCAACACAUAUAUGGGCCUACAAUGUCUUCACCUUUUUCAUCCUUCCUAGCUCCAUCAAUACAUGGGCCUACAACAGCCCUAAUUUCUUACCGAGCUCCACAUGUAUAUGUGGGCGAGACGACUCAUAGGCCCUGUUUGGUUGAGUUGUGACUUUUAUAAAAGCUGUUGUGAGCUGUGACUUUAAAAAACAUGUGAGAAAAGAAGCUUUGGUAAAAGAAGAAGACCGUUUGGUUGCGCAACUACGGCUUUGGAAAAACUAUAGAAUAUGGACCCAACAAGUCAUCCCCAACUAACUCAAUCCCUCUCUCACUAAAGAGUGGCCCCACUCGCCAGCCUCUCCUCUUCCUUGUUCCACUUUGUGCAGUGGGGCCUGGAGCCCAUCGGCCUAGACCUCGCUGGCCUUGCUCCACCGAGGAUGCAGAAAACACGCUGCUGUAGGGAGGAGGGAGAGGACGUGCAGCAGGAGCUCCCGCGCCCAACACCGCGCGUGGGAAGAAGAGGCUUGUGCCGGCCGCCGGAGCUCUCAUGUGCCCAAGCAGAGGCCCAAACCCGGCACCACACGUCGGAGGAAGAGGCCGCACUGGCCGUUGGUGCCCCUGUGCGCGCCUACGCAGAGGCCUGCGUCGGCCACUGGAGCUCCCUUGUGCGUCGUCCACUAGAGCUCUCGCGCUUGCCUGAGUAGAGGCCCGAUUCUUCUUCCUCUUUGUAUGGAGAGCAGUCGAGCUCGACCUAGGGUUGCGGGCCUGCAUGGUGGAGUCGGCUGGCCGCGGACCUGAGGUGGGGGCGUGCGGGCGCCGUCAAAGUGGGGCGGUGGCGAGGUUUGGGCCAUGCAGGUGGCGUUGGAGCAUGAUGCUUGCAAGGUAUCUAGGUGGCGCGGGUAGGAGUAGCAGACGAGAGAUGUCGCCGACUAGAAAGAACGACGAAAUAUCGAACCGGUAUGUUCAUAAUCAGUGGCAAGUGGGUAAUAUUUUACCCCCAAAAGCAGUUGAAAGUAGGUGGUGAGGUGCUUUUGAAGAUGUACUAUAGUGAAAACUGCUUUUGGGCAAAGGCAGUUGUGGCUUUUGGAUUCAUUGGUUGGCUUUUGGCUUUUGUAAAAAUAGAAGUAGGUUCAAAAGCCUAACCAAACGGGGCCUAGCUAGUUACUCUGUAGCGCUAUAAACACGCGGUUUUUUGCCCUAGCAAGUACGACUACAGGGAAAACACAAAUCAUACAUUGCAUCCACGUAGAGUAUCAUUUAUAUUACUUCCAGUUUUUUUCCUGAUCUAUAAGUUCGUUUCAUUUAAUUGGCUUAGCUGCUUGUAGGUGAUCGGGAAUGGAAAUAAUGAUGAAAAAAAUGUUGACAGACUUAAGUAGAUUGGAAUGGAAAUUAUAGAAAAAUGUGAUGGUUUGCCACUUGCUGUUAAAGUAAUGGGAGGCCUCCUACGCCAGAAAAAUACGAGACAAAGGGACUGGGAAAAAAUCCUAAAUGAUUCUAUAUGGUCAGUGUCCCAAAUGCCUGAAGAACUAAACUAUGCAGUAUACCUUAGCUACCAAGAUUUAAAUCCAAAUUUGAAGUCUUGCUUUCUGCACUAUGCCCUCCUCGCCAAGAACACAGUGUUCUAUGCCAACAACAUUGUUGCCAUGUGGAUUAGUGAAGGAUUUG
rnacentral:lncRNA from 1 species